rnacentral:rRNA from 1 species
UGUGUAGGUUGGUAUAUAAGAUAGUGGUGAAAUACCUGAGCUCAACUUAGGAAUUGCCGUUAUAACUAUGUACCUAGAAUUGUGUAGAGGAUAGCGGAAUACCCAGUGUAGAGGUGAAAUUCGUAGAUAUUGGGUAGAACACCGGUGGCGAAGGCGGCUAUCUGGGCACAUAUUGACACUGAGGCACGAAAGUAUGGGGAUCAAACA